GCUAAGCACUUUGGAUUGUAUGAGGCGCGGCGCGGUGGGACGGACGGACGAAACGGACGGACGCGCACGCACAGGACCGCUGGAAGCGUUGGGCGUCGAACCCGAGACCGCGCCGGAGCGAUUCGCGGAGACGGCCGCCUCGCGGACUCUCGAGCGGAGCCGGCGGGGGGAGGCGGUGGAGCCCGAGGCCUGCGCUCGUUUCUGAUUGGCUUUUCGUUUCCUCCAGCUUUUCGUUCGUUAAGAUUCAUUUUGAGACAACUUCAAAGCACCAUCAUCUCCCGACGUAGUUUCUUUGUUGUUUUUCACGUGGUUUUGGCGCUCGGGAGGGACGGGGAAGAAGGUGUGGGACUGUGACGGGUGUGAUCGAGCUUCGGUGCUGCGAGUUUGAGGCGAUCCUUGCAGGCGUCCCCUGUACCCGACUCCUGGGGGGUACGGCUUGGGGGGGAUCCGGAAGAGAGGAUGCUGGAACACAGGAAGGGUCUUGGGUGCUGUUUUUUGUUUUGUUUCUGAAGAACAUGAGGACAGAUCGAGUUGAGAAUCGGUCUGCUCGUGGGAUCCUCCUCCGUAUCCCGCCUUGGACUUCCUGUCCCUCGUCUGGAGUCCAUAGCCUCACACGCGUGCGAGCCGCAGUCCCGCACACUGGCGUUUCCCCACACCGUGGCCCCUCCAGCGCGUACCCAGCCCGGCAACCAUUAGUAUUCACUGCGCGCCUGCCAAAUGUCUUUUCCUUUAGCUUACCAAACAUUGAAUGAGAUUUUAAUUUGCUUCUGACGGGCAGGUUAUAGAACUCCUAGGCUAUAGAACAGCCGUAACCUUGGCUUCAGAGGGCUGCAGGGCUUCACGAGUGCGUCAGUGUUUUUGGCUGCAGAGCUGUCAAUCACAACGAGAACGAACAUGCCAGUUGACCUCCUGCAAUCGUUUACGAGGUGAAAGGGGAGGCGAUUAGAUAUACAAGCAAUAGUGUGAUGAUGAAAGCCAGUCAGAGAAUGUUUGUUGGGUGAACUUGCUUUUGAAAGGGUCGCUCUUUAUCGAUAACCCCAGCAAGACACCACCCCAAGAGACAAUCCAGCUCUGGGGUGGGGGCAGUCAGUGUGGAGCAGCCAAUCACUGUAGAUUACCUGUUUACCGAUUGGUCCUGUAACAUGUCAUCCACACUCGGCACCUCUACAGUGGUGAAUGACGAGGGGGAACCUUACCACCUUACUCCGCCUCUCCAGCGACACCCUCUCCAGUUAAUGGGCCAUUCUGGGGCUACGGCCUCUAGCGCGUUGUUAAAAUAGAAAUUGAAUGAAUGGGAAAAUAUACACAUAUAAAUAUGUAAUAUUUAAAAUAAAUAUAUAUCUUUGAAUAGUGGCUCAGAAUAGUGGUCACUAGAGAGUUUUUUUUUUGUGUUACUCUUUUAUUUUUUAAGUCUGAGGAAGAAAAGGAAGGAAAGACAAAGAAGAAGAAAGCCCCUGAACGAGCCGGUUUUUGAUAUUCGAGCUGUCUGUUUGCUGAUGGCCGAGCUGGAGGUAUAGAGCUUUUGAGAGGAGCCGGGGGUCUUGUGGGUACGCCGCAGAGGUGCGUCCGUUUUCCCCUUCCCGUCAGUGCCGUCGGCACCGCGUUUUCUGUUCUGUUAAUUCUCAUUUUGUGUUAUGAGCAGUCGCUCAGUAUGUGACAAUUGAAUUGCUGUAGGAUAAUCACAGAUUAGGAGAGCUGGUCCAGGUGAGCAAAGUCCGAGCACCUGCAAUCUUACACGAGCAGCCCACGCACCGAGAGGAGAAGCGGGGGUCUGAAUAUGUGUAUAACUCCAUCCCCCAUCCCAGGAGACCCUUUGUGUGUGUGUGUGUGUGUGUGAGUGAGAGUGUUUGGGGGGGUGGGGCUUCUUUGCUGCUCCAGGAAUGGCCUGAAUUUAUUUGUUGUUUUUGGAAAGCAGUUAAGUAUUGGGUUGUACAGUGAGAGGCGUUCAGCUGGGCUAAUUUAGAAAGUUCAAAGAUUUAUGUUGAUGACCACCCCAACCCAUGACUCGGAAGCACACAUUCACCUGUGCGAAACAGCACCCCCACCCCCCACCCCCCUCUUUUUCGCCGCAUUUCGACUGAGCCAUAGCUGCGUGAUUUACAAAUGUUUUAAAAGGGAAAAGUAUAUAUAAUUCCCAGGUACAGGGUAGGCCCAACAGUUGGAGGGCAUUUUGUGUCCCAUAAGGCCACAGUAGUCCUGGCUUCUAUUCAGGUGCGAGUGGGUUAGCAUUGCUGCUAGUGAGGUCAGAGCAAGCUUUCCGUCAGCAGGUCAGCCGGUAGCCGAUAAUCCUAUAUCCGUUAGAUUACUAAAGUAGUACAGGCGUUGGCCCAAAUGUGAGAUUGGAGCGGCCUGCGCUCACUGCCGCAGAAGACCCGCGUGGUUAACGUGAAACAGAAGCGUCCGGCGUUACCGCAGUAUUAUGGCCGAUGGCAGUUGAGACUGCGUUUCUUGGUUCCGUGAGCAAGGGCUGGAGUGGGGAAGUGCGCGGUACAUACGCAGAGUCUGGAGGACUCUUCCGCCACGCGCGGCUCUUCUGGGCUCGGAUUUAGCCGUCUGCUGAUUUCUUCUGAUUUACUUGAUUUAGAACACUGCCGUUCUCAAGAUUCCGUCGAGGAUCCCUGCCAUUGGUCGGCAAUCGGGGGUUGCUGGGUCUGUCUGAGAGAGGGGGGGUGGAGUCAGGUGCCAAGCAGUCCUAAUGGGCUCCCAGACUGGGAUCACUUAUGCUUUUGGGUUUCUCCCUCCUUUGUUUAGUUGAAAAGCACUUUCCGAGUUCUCGCGUCUCUUUCCUCUCUGUCCAGGAGGAACUUAUGUAUUUACAGCUAGCUGUACAUACCCAUUUUCUGUAUCAACAAAAAAAAGUGCUCCUUUGCUCAGUAUGAAUAUUUUGUUUUGAGUUUACUUUGAAGAGCAUUACUACAUUGUAGAUUUUGAGAAAUUUGAAAUAAAGUUUGGCAUUUGCACAUUGCAUUUGCUCACCGAACGGAGGUGUUUGUGCCACUUUGAGAUGUUUGGAGAACCACACUCUUUGAGAAGAGAUGCUAUGGAUUAUAAAGGGCCAGAUCGAAGCUGACGCCUCUAGCUAAUUUAUUGUUUCCAGUUUUCCCGGUGCGAGACUGAGGACGUACCAUUUUGACGACUUUUAUUAGACAAGACAACACAGCAAUAGGAACAGGAGGUAGGGGGAUUUUGUUUUCUGUAUUGGUUGAAUUAAGUUGUGGUUGGCUCUGUUGGUCAUCACCUCAACAUUUGGGAUGUACAGAAUGAAUUAAUAAAAAUGUUGAUCAAUGUGAUGACAAAGCAGUAUCUUCCUUGGAUGAAAUGGCGCCGUCACUGUCAUGGACAGUAAAAAUGAUAGACCAAUGUAAAAUGGCAAUGGACAAAAAUAAUUAAAUGAGGAUUAUUCAGUCAUUAUUAUUAAUGUUUAAUGUACUUUUACAUUUAAGUACAAGAUAAAAAGCAAAUUAUCUUGUUAGCGGGUUUUCUGACAAUAUAGUUCAUGCACUAUUUGAGUACGCAAGAAAAUGGCCAACAUAAAAGUAGGAAAAAGGUUUUGAAAUUACAUGCUUCAUUGAGCAACUUUAUUAGUGUUUUUUAUCAGAAGUUUAUGAUUAUUUUUGGAAUAAAAUAAAAAUUCUAACUGUGGCACUUCAGCACUGAAAUCUCACAAUAAAAGGAAGCUUUAAUACUGAAACACCCUGAGGGUCGUCAGACAUUGUUCACUGCACAGUAUAAAGAGCAAGAUAUCUGUAUCUACACAGACUUCAUGGUGAGCUGAAAGUAAUGGUGAGUUUCAGCUGACUUCCUGUUGUUUCAUUUUAAACACUUAUGCUUUGGUAAUUCAACACUCCUUGCACACACAAAUAAAUUAUUUACACAGCACUAAGCUUGGAGUAAAAGAUGAAAAGUGGUUAGCUGAAUACUCACAAGUGUCGAUUAGUCAACUGGGUCAGAAGUCCACCCAAAAGACCUAAUUCCUAACUCCAAUAUGAAUGGAGGGUGUGUCGGUGAAGUCAGGAUUAAGUAAAAUAUGUACAAUUUAAAAAAUCCAGCAGUUCUAACCGCUAACACCCUUGUUUAAUGUAUGGCACUCUGAAUACCGAACACAAGUGCAUCAACAGUUAAAACACCCCACUUAUCCAACAUGUAAAAUAUAUUUGAUUAAAUUUAUUAAUUAUUAUUAAAGAUAUCAAUUAUCAAUUAAAUUUCCGCAUUUGUUGAUAGGCAGAGCAACCUGUACAUCAAAAUGUACAACUUGCAACCAGGGAAAAAUUUAGAAAUGUAUUCAGUUAUCACAAAUAUUUUUGUCUAACCUUAAUUUUGAGGUUCAACUAUCUUAAAAAAAAAAAGUACCAAACCACAGCAUGUGUCAAAAAGUAAUCCAAGGAUGUGCCACGAUCAAAGUUCAAAAGCCAAAAGAAUAGAAUAUUCAAAAAUGACCAUGAAAUGUAUAAUACCAAACCUAGAUGCAGGACUCAGAUGCCCACUUCAAACUAACUCAAAAACAGUUAAAAACAGACUUCUUGCCAAGUUGCUCCAACUAAAAAGAAGUUGCACCUUCUUUCUACUGAAAACGAGGGUGGGGAGUCUGGGGACACACCCCUUCACCAGGCCUGUGUAUACUUAAUUAUUCAUCUGGGAGGAUCCAAGGAGUACUGCUUUCUUACCUUUUAUAUAUAUAUAUAUAUAUAUAUAGAUAUAUAUAGAUAUAUAUAUAUAUUAUUGGUUCUGGUCUAUUUACAAUACAACGUAUGUUGUUACAGUUAAUGAUCUUCUCCUAGGAAGCAUUCUGGUGACAUUAGAUAUUAAUAUUUUGAGAUCUUUUUGGGAGGGACGGCUUUGGCUAUUAUGGACGUGCUUUUAAGCUACUAUGUGGAGACACUAGAUGAUCAGACAGUUAAACCAAGUUGCAAAAUCAUCAUAGACACCCUGACCUCUGCUUUAUUCUGGUAUGACCUGACCAGAAUUUUCAAUAUUGUGCUUGUAGAUGUAUUAACCAAGUUGCAGAAUUAAAUGAGUACACACACACACACACUCUUUCUAUGUCUUACCUCAGCAUGUCUUAUCAUGCUGGCUGAGCACUUUGAAGCUUCCAAGGGCAGAGUACAGGCCCAAAUGUGAAUUAGAUGUCUGACAGGUAGAAUGUCUGCUCUCAGUUUAAAAAAAAGAAAAAUAAAUUAAAAACUGCCCCUUGCUUAAGUUCUUAAUGCUGAAAGUGAAGAAAAUGUAAUACUGUGAAAAUGUGAUUCAGUAUGUCUUAUUUUAUUAUUUUGAGUAGGAAAUGCUACAAUGCUCCGUUGGCACAUUAGAACCUCUUAAUAAAAACAGACUUAGCUUUACUAGCCUGUUAUUCCCUUUAUACUCCCUAAAAAAUUUAAUGCACACUAUUUCCAAGAUGAAGUACUCUAUAAAUUUUUUAAAAUUGUUUUAUUGUACUGUAGGCAAGCAGGGGGGCUGUGGAGCCACUGAUAACCUGUAAACUGCUGUGCCUAUCCGUGAGGGUGCUCAGUUGUUACCCUGUUGUCAUUGGGAUUGGAGAAAAUCAGGGAAAUGGGAAAUUGGAAGGGCCUGCAUCUCUGGCGUGUUGGAGAAUGGAAAUUUGUUUAUACUUAGGACACACACCAUGGGCUCAUUCAAAUGGCUUAUUUUUCUGUCCUUGUCUUCUCAGUCCUCACCUGACCUUGAAACCGAUAAAAGUCCACUAUUUCAAAGGACAUUCCAACUUGUUAAAUGCUCCUUGAAGGAGCUAUGAGCAAGUAGGCUCCUCCUGAAGGAUGCUUGAGUAAGGAAACUGAAGUGCAUUCAUUCUUUAAAGUGCAGGCAUAGGCAUUUCCAAAAUAUGUGUUCUCAAAUGCAUUAUGAUUGGUCAGUGGAUCAAUGAUGUCACAUUCCAAAAAUAUGUUAGAGCUUUCAAUAUGUGAUAUUAUCAAAAAUGCUUAGAAUAACACCCAUAUAUGGUUGCACUGUUCUUCCAAGAAUGCAAUCUGAGAUUUAAUUCUGGGAUACUUCCAAGAUCCGUUGCCAUGUAUUUUGCUUGGAAGGAUGAAACAUCUUUAGAAUACUUCCAAGCUUGCAUAUCCAAUCAAAAAAUUGCAUUGCUAUCCCUAACCCUAAUUCUAAUUCUAACCGUAAAUCCUGUUUUUACCCCUCAUCUUAAAUAUUAGAUUUUUCUAUUAAUAUGAAUCACAAACAAAAUAAAAUCAGUUCAAUGAAAUUCAUACAAGGCAAUGUGUUUGAAGGAAUUCAUGACAAUUGUACUUCCCUGAAAAAAAUGUCAAAAUAGAUAAGGAUAUUGUUCUAUGUCUCAAAAGUGAAAUUAUGUGACUCAUUCAAAAUCAUAGAAUAACCCUAGCACUAACUCUGACCGUACCACGUAAGUAUAGGCUUUAUUUAGCCUCAACCAACGGUUGUGAUAGAAUUACACAAAAACACACAUUCUUCAUAAUGUUAACUCUUCCUACAAAAGUUUAAGCCAGUCAGGGAAGGAUUACAUUAUAGCAAUGCAAGCACCCAUCAAAGAAACAAAGGAACACUAAUUAUCUUGGAUGACCACUACAAAGGGAUAGCAGGUUGAGAUCAAGGAACAUUGGCAUUUUCCAUACCAUGUAACAUUUGGAAUGCUCGUUUUAGGUGAUAUGCAAAAUUCUAGGUAAGGAUGUUUGUAUGUUUGGCUGUCAUGUGCUUGUACUGAUGCGGAUGUAGUUGGGUGCAUGAAUUUUUCUUUAACAUGAAUAGCCAUUAGUGCGGUGAUUGUCUAUGAAGAUGUUGAGAAGGCGACGUGGACCAUCUUAGGUAAGUGUCGCAUGGACUGGGAAAGAUAUAUUUCUCCCUAUAACUGUCGAUGGUACCACAGUGACUGCCUCUCAAUCUGCUAAGAGCCUGGGGGUGGUCCUAGGAGACCAGCUGGACUUCCAGGAGCACAUCACGGUCCUGCGGAUUCCUCCGGUACAUCAGGAGGAUUGGACAAUGCCUGACCUCGUACUCCACCCAGCUCCUUGUCCAGGUCCAGGACAUGGUAAUUUCCCGCCUUGAUUUCCUGCAACUCUCUCCUUGCCUGCCAGCCUGUGCGACACAGCCGCUACAGCUGAUUCAGAAUGCUGCCCCCCAAAUUGUCUUCAACCUUCCUGAGUUCUCACGUCAUUCCCCUGCUGAGGUCACUCCACUGGCUACCAGUCGCUGCCAGGAUCAUGUUCAAGGUCCUGACCCUGGCCUGUCAACUAUGAUGUGUUUUGUUUUGAUCUUGUUUUCUUUAUCCUUCUAUGAUAUAACACUAUUAAUAACCUAUUUUAACCAUAUUGUCAUUCAUCUAAUGUGUAUUCUAUUACCUUUGGUUUUGUAAAAAUAAAAUCUUUUAUUUUUGACAAUUGUUUUGUCAUACUUAACUGGAAAAGUGUGAGAGGAACAGGAAGGCCCUCACAUUGAAUGAGUAAUAAUAUGGUUAUUCUUCAUACACAUUAUCGAAGUCUCUUACAGUUACAGCCUACCUUCAGUAACAUUUCACUACAGAUUGCCAUGGGUUGGACUGACAAGCACUACGAACAUAAAUGUGCAUAACAUAACCACAUCUCCUGCAGAAGAGCUUGAAUUGGUUUAAAAUAAUGGUUAGCUUUUUAAGACUCAUCUGAAUGUGUUUGGAUAAGACCAAGUGAAAUAGGGCAGUAGGCUCUGUGUAGGCCUUCAUAACAGAAAAAUUACAUAGGAUGACUCCUAGGGCUUGAAAUUAGGUUUACGAUUAGAAUUAGCAUCAGGAAUGUGGCAAAUGUUAGGGUUCAGGCAAAACAGUUAUGUUUAGGAGUUAGGGAAAGAGUACAAGGAUUGGUGUUUAAUUUUGGAUGAUGCAAUCUUUUUCCUUUUGAGUCAUAACACUAUAGUAUUUUGAUAUAUUGGAAAAUACAUUUCCAUAACUUCAAACACACUUCCUUGAAUUUAUUUUUCAAUACAUGAUAUUUAGAUAGUUUUUCAAAUGGAAACAUCUGAUUAUUAUGUAACUACUAAGGCUAGAAAUAAUUUUUUGGUUUUGUAUGAAGAUUUGGGUUAAUUUUGGGAAAACAGUAAGUGUUAGGAUUGAGGCAAGAUUUUAGUUAUGUUUUGGAGCAAGAGAAAGGGUAAAGGCAAGGUUUGAUUUAUUUUCUGCCCCUGGGUGUGCCCACAAUAUGUCAGAAGUUAAAUUCAAGUUUUAAAUUUAAGUUUCCUUUUAGCAAGGCUAAUUUAGAGGUGUUUAGGAGAGCUUUAGCUGGUUUAACUGUUGUUUGGCUAUUUUCCCAUCCAUUUUAGUUGCUUUUAAUCCUUCUGUGGUCUCUAAGUUUGCAUAUAGGAUCUCCAGAUUGAUUGUGACCAAGUUACCGAAUCCAGUAGCUGUCUCUACCUGUAGGAAAUUAUAUGUAUCCUUGAUGUAGCGCUGGUGUUGGUUUGAUAGGGGGCUGAUGAAAUACUCAAUGUAUUCUCUGGUUCUGUGGUAUUCACUGUUGCAGUUGGAAACACAAUGGAUCCCCCUGCCUGGACCUCAUAUGGGUCACUCAAUGUUUCUGGUGGUUUGACCACAAGCCGCACACACAGAGCAGAGGUGGAGGAGACCCAAUCAUAUGCCUGCGCAGAGAGCAAGUCACAGUCUCCAGGACAGCCAACAAGGUUGCUUUGAGCAAUGAACAGCACUGUCCAUGGUGACUGAAUCCCUUCCAUAUAUCCCUCGGGUGGUGCGAAGCGGAUUCCAAAGGUCCUGUGGAGCUGGCAGCCCCAGUCAUCGCUGGCAUGGGUCAGAUUCUAUCUGAGAUUGUGUAGCAUGGACAUUUUGUGUCCAAUAAGGCCACCAAACUCUGCUAGACUUCUCUUCAGGUGGGUUACCGUUGCUUCUAGUGAGGUCAGAGCAGAACUUUCCGUUACCAUUUACAGCCACAUGACACAUCAAGUGUUAAAGCAGUAUUAUGACAGUUGACGGUUCAAUCUAGGUUAUUUUUCGCAUUUGCACAUUGCAUUUGUUAACCAAAGGAGGUGUUUGUGCCACUUUGAGAUAUCUGAGAAUGACACUUUGAAAAGAGAUGCUAUGAAUAUAAAAGACCAGAUAAAGUUGACACCUCUGUAGCUAAUUUAUAAUUUCCAGCUUUCUCGAUGGAAGACUGAAGAUGUACCACUUUAUUUUAUUAAAUAAGACAACACAGCUAUAGGGAAAGGAGAUUGGCAAAUUUUGUUUUCUGUAUUGGUGGAAUUCAGUUGUUUUUGGCUCUGCUUGCCAACAUUUGGGAUGUACAGAAUUAAUAAUAAUGUUGAUUAGUGUGACAGGAAAGUUCCCUGGAAAAAAACCUCCUCAUAAACAAUAAAAGAUGACCAUUGGAAAACCCAUGUAGAAUGGCAAUGGACAAAAAAAA